AUACGUAGGGGGCUAGCGUUAUCCGGAAUUACUGGGCGUAAAGGGUGCGUAGGUGGUUUCUUAAGUCAGAAGUGAAAGGCUACGGCUCAACCGUAGUAAGCUUUUGAAACUAAGAGACUUGAGUGCAGGAGAGGAGAGUAGAAUUCCUAGUGUAGCGGUGAAAUGCGUAGAUAUUAGGAGGAAUACCAGUUGCGAAGGGGGCUCUCUGGACUGUAACUGACACUGAGGCACGAAAGCUUGGGGAGCAAACAGGAUUAGAUACCCUGGUAGUCCACGCCGUAAACGAUGAGUACUAGCUGUCGGGGGUUACCCCCCUCGGUGGCGCAGCUAACGCAUUAAGUACUCCGCCUGGGAAGUACGCUCGCAAGAGUGAAACUCAAAGGAAUUGACGGGG
rnacentral:rRNA from 1 species